GCAUAUCAAUAAGCGGAGGAAAAGAAACCAACAGGGAUUGCCUCAGUAGCGGCGAGUGAAGCGGCAAAAGCUCAAAUUUGUAAUCUGGCGUCUUUGGCGUCCGAGUUGUAAUUUGAAGAAGGUAACCUUGGGGUUGGCUCUUGUCUAUGUUCCUUGGAACAGGACGUCACAGAGGGUGAGAAUCCCGUGCGAUGAGAUGACCAAUUCCAUGUAAGGUGCUUUCGACGAGUCGAGUUGUUUGGGAAUGCAGCUCUAAGUGGGUGGUAAAUUCCAUCUAAAGCUAAAUAUUGGCGAGAGACCGAUAGCGAACAAGUACAGUGAUGGAAAGAUGAAAAGAACUUUGAAAAGAGAGUGAAAAAGUACGUGAAAUUGUUGAAAGGGAAGGGCUUGAGAUUAGUCUUGGUAUUUUGCGCCCUUGCCUCUCGUGGGCGGGGUCUACGCAGCUUACCGGGCCAACAUCGGUUUGGAUGGCGAGAUAAUGAUGGAGGAAUGUGGCUCGCCUUCGGGUGAGUGUUAUAGCCUGUAUUGAUGUCGCCUGUCU
rnacentral:rRNA from 1 species